rnacentral:rRNA from 1 species
CAGUAGCCGCGGGAAUACGGAGGGAGCUAGCGUUGUUCGGAAUUACUGGGCGUAAAGCGCGCGUAGGCGGUUACUCAAGUCAGAGGUGAAAGCCCGGGGCUCAACCCCGGAACUGCCUUUGAAACUAGAUGACUAGAAUCUUGGAGAGGUCAGUGGAAUUCCGAGUGUAGAGGUGAAAUUCGUAGAUAUUCGGAAGAACACCAGUGGCGAAGGCGACUGACUGGACAAGUAUUGACGCUGAGGUGCGAAAGCGUGGGGAGCAAACAGGAUUAGAUACCCGUGUAGUCCCUGUCUCUUAUAC